ensembl:lncRNA
AUGGAGAGGCGCGCGGGGCGGGUGGAAACGCGUGCUCGCCCCGCACCUCCGCAUCCGCGAGGGGAGGCUCCUGCCCCGCGCCGCAGCCAGUCCCCGCGCGCUCGCCCCCGCGCCUCCCUCCCGCGCCCCCGCUCCUCCGGCCGCCCCCGCGCCCCCCGCCGCCUCCUCCGCCCGUGGACCGCUGCGCGCUGCUGCCCCGGGGGGCUGGCGUUUCCACCUGUCACCGCGCCGCCGCCGCCGCCGCCCAAGUUUUCAGGGAACUUACCUGGCGCGUCGUGUGCCUCAGGCUCUUCCCCAUGGCCGCCGCCCCCUCCUCCCGCCAGCUCCCCGGGCCCCCCGCGCCCCCCGCCCAGCCCUGCGGCCGCCGGGCCCGAUGAACGCCAGCAGCGGGGACUCGGGGGGUGGGAGCCCCGCGCGCAGCCGCCCGCACCCGAGCGCUCCUGCUUCCGAGCAGCCACGCAGCGUCCGUCCGGGGCAGGAGCAUUGCGGAUGCGGCGCGGGGCCGGCGCGGGGCUCCGGGCGCUCUCGGGGGUCGUGAGCGCCGCGCCCCGCGCCCCCGCACGCCCCCCACCGGCCCGCGCGCCCCGCCGGGGCCAUGCAGUCUCUCAUGUCGCCGGUGACCAAGGCGAUCCUGGUGGCCCUGUUCAGCUUCGCCAUCCUCCUCAUCCUCUACGUGAUUCUCUGGUACAUCUGCCGCGAUGUGGACUGCGACCACGGCAUCUGAGCGCCGCCGGACCCCCGGGCCGCCACGCGGGGGGCGUCCGCGGCGGGAGGGCCCUGGGGACUGAGCGGUCCCGCGGUGCCCCCAGCUUGGCGCUGGAGACCCCCGCCCCGGGCCCCGCCGCCGGCCCUGCACCGCCUCCUGGCCUUGACCUUCAGCGACGCGCCGGGGAGAGCGGCCUUCCAAACUUAAGGGGAAGGUCCCCCACGCGGCAGAGAGGGCCUCCUGGAAACUUCAGCUUCUGUGCAAGAAGACUGGAGGGAAGUGGGCAAAUUUGAGUCGUAUGGAAGCCUGAGAUGGAGCAAAGCUUAAGAACAUGUAGACAGUCCCCUAAGGCGCUGGAGAACGCUGGCGGCUGUGGAGUCAUGUGUUUGCAUGCAUGACAGGUGCCAGCCAGGGAGCUGUGGGCACAUCACCCUGGGAAGCCAGCACCCACAGGCCAGGACUGCAGCGUGCAGGGAUGGAUCUCUGAAGGUCACUGCUCCGCCCUGCUCUGAAGACUGUCCACCAGCAUGUCAACGCAGCUUCCCUGCGGGGGUUGAAGGGUGGGAAGACUGUCAGUCAGGAUUAAGGCCAUCUCCCCCGCCCAUCACUCCUUCUGCCAAGCCAUCACCAGGCAGCCGGGACUCAUGGGCAGUGUCACCUCCGGGGCCAUGCUGGCAUCUGUAACCUCCAUCCACCCUCGAGGUCCCAUCCAGCCAGCUCUGCCCACCUGCCUGGCCCAGUCUGUUGUGAAGUUUCACGCUCCUUCCUCUUGUGCAGAGUCGGAAUUCACGGGGGUCGCCAUGCCCACAGGUACCCCAGUGGAAGUGUUGACUCUUAUUACUGGCUAGACCCAUCCAGAGGACAAACCAGCUUCAGAGAAUGCCAUCGUUAAAGUAGGUGCCACUGGGGGGUUUCCGCACUUAACUCUCCGAUGCUGUCCCCGCCAUCAACCUGAUACAGACUUCGUCCGCUGCGAGAUCACUUCCUCUCAAGUGCAGACCAGAUCCCCCAGGGAAGAGACUCCUCGUCCUCAUUGUUGCCAAGUGACCCCGAAUAUUCCUCUCCUGCCUGUUGCAGAAAAGGAAAAGUCACGUUCUGGAAGAACAGCAUUGCCCUACAAAUACAAACGAGAGACUCUGCACCUAGAACAAGAGUCCCGGAAAUUUCCAGAAGCAAAUCUCUCACUUGUGACCAUCAGAUUCCACCUGAUGCCUAAUGCACCUUCUCAAAUCUCAUCACGUGUGACAGCCGCAACGCCCGGUCCAGUGGCCACACAGGACUCUCCGCUGUGUUUCUUCUGCUUCCUUUAACGCACAAGAGUGAAGAGAUGAGGACGAAGGCGGGCGGAACACUGGUCUCUCUGAAUGCCCUGGACCGACAGCAGCCCUGGUCACCCACUCACCAUCCUGUCCAUAUGCACCCUGGUGAGCAUUUUCUAGAAGCUCCCAUGGUUCCGUGUUUGUAGGUGUGAUGUGUGCCACCUCCGAGGCUGUCGUAGCUUCCACCUCCUCUGUCUGCAGAGAGGCCACAAAGACAGAGCUGAGAAAUUAUGGCUAUCCCAGAAAAUAAAAUAUUUUUUGAAACCACACAGCACAGGUGUGGGUCUUUGUGUCACUGUGAAAACAGAACCCUGCAUACCGUUAGCUUGGUAGCAUUUGGAUGACAGACAGAGUAUUCAUGGGCCCUGCAGAGAAGUACGGGUGGAAAUGCAUUUAUCACCUGAGCUUGGUACAGUCUGCUCUUGGUACAUUUUUUUAUUUUUUUGAGAUGGAGUCUCACUCUGUCCCUCAGGCUGGAGUUCAGUGGCACGAUCUCAGCUCACUGCAACCUCUGCAGCUGGGAUGACAAGCUCCUACUAUCAUGCCUGGCUGAUUUUUGUAUUUUUAGUAGCGAUGGGGUUUCCCCAUGUUGGCCAGGCUGGUCCCAAACUCAUGACCUCAGGUGAUCCGCCCACCUCAAUCUCCCAAAGUGCUGGGAUCCCAAAGUGUGAGCUGGGUGGCCUCUGGCUGCAUCUACAAAAUGAGAUGCCUCCCGUAUGGUCUCCAUAGGUGUGGGAAGGGAUGCCUUCUAUUAAAAUAACCACUAAAAAGGCAGUGUCAGAGCUCCCAUGAUGAUUUUAACACCCAAGCUCUUCUGAGGUCAUUUUCCUAAAGGAGGUCUGCUUUCUCCAUGUCUGAGAACACAGAACAUAUUCUCACCCUGUACACAGAGGAGCACCGCACUUCACACUCGCGGGUCUCAGCUUUCCCUGGGCAGGGUCUCAACGUGGGAGCCCGAGCACAAGGCAGAAAAACCUGCCAUAAGAUUCACACAAGCACCUCCACCUGCUCCAGAACAGGGUCAAAGGCUAAGAGAAAAAGUCUGAAAAACCAUAUUUUAUAAGUACAAUCUUAAUUGCACUUGUGAUUAAAAAAAACAUGGUUUUGUUUUUGUUUUUGUUUUUGUUUUUUUGAGUCAGAGUCUCACUCUGUCACCCAGGCUGGAGUGCAGUGAUGUGAUCUCUGCUCACUGCAACCUCCACCCCCCGGGUUCAGGCAAUUCUCUUGUCUCAGUCUUCAGAGUAGCUGGGACAACAGGUGUGCGCCACCACGCCCGUGUAAUUUUGUAUUUUUUUUUUUUUUUCAUUUUUUAGUAGAGAUGGGGUUACGGCAUGUUGGCCAGACUGGUCUCGAGCUCCUGACCUCAGGUAAUCUGCCCACCUCGGCCUCCCAAAGUGCUGGGAUUACAGGAGUGAGCAACCACAUCUGGUCAACUCAUGUCUUAAUACACUUAUUUUAUUAUUAACCCCAAGAAGGAAAAUGUGGCAGACACAUGGCUAAGGGUUACUUUUCAUAUCUACACGGCGAAAGACCAAGAUGGCUGGGUGAGGUGCAUACAUUCCUCUGGAAAAGGGGCCUUUAUACUCUUGGGGUGACGGGCGGCCUACAAUAAUUGUCUUUCAUCCGAGAGAACAUAGGAAGAUUGUCAAGAAGUGUGUGGGACACCGGGUGCGGUGGCUCACACUUGUAAUCCCAGCACUUUGGGAGGCCAAGGCUGGUGGAUCACAAG